rnacentral:rRNA from 1 species
GACGAACGCUGGCGGCGUGCUUAACACAUGCAAGUCGAACGAGAAGAGAUGAGAAGCUUGCUUCUUAUUGAUUCGAGUGGCAAACGGGUGAGUAACGCGUAAGCAACCUGCCCUUCAGAUGGGGACAACAGCUGGAAACGGCUGCUAAUACCGAAUACGUUCUUUUGUCGCAUGGCAGAGGGAAGAAAGGGAGGCUCUUCGGAGCUUUCGCUGAAGGAGGGCUUGCGUCUGAUUAGGUAGUUGGUGAGGUAACGGCCCGACCAAGCCGACGAUCAGUAGCCGGUCUGAGAGGAUGAACGGCCACACUGGAACUGAGACACGGUCCAGACUCCUACGGGAGGCAGCAGU